GCUUGGCUGGCUCAGCGGGUGGAGCGUGUGACCCUAAAUCCCGGGGUUGUGAGUUCAAGCCCCACGUUGGGUA
rnacentral:tRNA from 1 species